GAUUUAUUCGUUUAGAGCAAGAAAUGCAGUACUGGUGGUCAUUUAAAAUAAGAAGCAACACAAUAGCUAUAAUUAAAUUGUGCACAAAUGCACAAUACAUAUAUACAACACUAAAGCAUGUUAACAUUGAGUAGGAAUUGAAGCUCUUAUUCUCAUAUUUUUGAUCGUUUACUUGUUUUAUUUGGAAUAAUCAUAUUGUUUUCAGGGGUUAUCUAUUUUAAAUGUUUAAUGCUUAUCUAAUUAUAUUUAAUUUGGUCAGUUGAUGUAAAGAUGCUAUAUUGAAUUUGAUAGUUGGGUGAAAUUAGUAUUUAGUAGGAUCAAUUCAUUUGUUUUAAUUGCAGAACAAAAAGGUUUGUAAUAUUUCGAAUGAUUAUAGAGUUAUUGUUAAUAUGUAAUGAUUUGGGAAGUUGAUAUAGUAUGAAAGAUGAAGGAUAAGAGUAUGUAUAUUGGUUUUUUUGCAAGUAUUGGAAUUUGAUCAAUGGGAAGAAUGAUAUGAUUUUUUCUUCUUGCUAACGAUUAAGUUUAUGUAUCUCAAUUUAAUUAGUGAACGGUGAAUCUAGCUGGUUGUUUGGUUCACAGUUGAGAUGAUGUAAAUGAAUCUUGCAACUUAAUGUGUUUGGUUCUCUGAUAUUCCUAAAUUUUAGAAGCACAAUGAUGAAAACCUUUGAUGCUUAUGAAUUCAUGUACAAGCACAACAGCUAUAUUAGAAGAGUUUCUAGACAUAACCUUUGCAUAUGGUGUCAGUGAUGAGUUCAGGUAAUUUAAUUUGGUGGUUGCUUUUAGCCUUCGAAAAAGGAAUCCAAAUUUUAUGAAAGGCAGCUCAGGUUUGUCUUGGUCUACCCCUUGGCUUCUUAUUUUGUCAACUUUGGUGCAAAUUUAGUGAUAUAAUGAUGAAAAUAUAGGAAAUCUUCAAAGGUUUUUUAUAAUUAAGUUGAGCUUGUUAAUCCGUACAUUUGAAUAGUGGCCACAAUGGUAUCAUUUCUUAAAAUUAAGCUCUUUAUUAUUGAAUACUACAACUAUAAGAAAAAUAAAGGAUGUAGGAGUUUAUUCUAGCAGUAAUCUUGUCUACUUUUGAUCUUUAUUAAUAAGUGACUCUAAGCUUCUUGGCAUAAAAAUAUAUUUACAACAGUGUGGCAAGUGUGCACAGGGCACAUCAAUUGUCCAGCUUAUGCAUUUGCCUUGUGAUGCCAUAGAAUCUCAAAGACAUCUCGGUGCUAUGAAAUUACUCUCUUAUAGCUCAAGUGCGCUGUGAUGUUUGAUUAUCUUGAUAUUUAUGUUGAUGUUUGAUUAUCUAGAUAUUUAUGUUAGCAUUACAGGGUACUUGUAACUAAUAAGACCAACAUCAAUUCUUGCAAUCUGGGAUCAUCUUUUGAAGAGCAUAAUGACUCGUGAAUUGGCAAUCUGGCUUGCACCUUUCUAGCUGCAGUUUUUGUUACAUUAUUGUCUUCACCUCUCUUAUACAAAUGUGUAAUUUUAAAUUUAUGCGUUAUUAAGGUUAAAUUUAUUCAGUAUAAAAAGCUUAUUCUUACUUCUAUUUUUUUAGCUUUGUGAUUUCAAAUUUGCACGUGCCAUGUCAACAAAGAUUGUUGUUCUUCACUAUGUCAAAGGUCGGGCUUAUCUGCUGCUAUGUCCCUCUUAUACGCUGUAGACACCAUAGCAAAAAGUUUUACCAGAAUGCUGCCUCCUGUUCUAUUCAUUUGUGGCAAAACAACUUUCUCUUGUUACCUCCUUAAUUAACACUUUUCUUCCCAGGGAGCAAGAAAUCAAACAAUUUGCAAAGGAAGUACAAAAAGAUUUGCAAGGGAAGCAAAGAGAGUUUGAGGCUGACAAUAUAUGGGGAAAUGAUGUGGGUGUAUCUAAGUUCUUGAGGUUGGAGAAAAAGUUUUCAAGGUGUUAUCUACAUCAGGAGACAAACUCAUUUGGGUGGUGAUGACUCCGAUAAGAAUGGUAGAUUGGCUAGCAGAAACUUUCAAGAAGAAUGAGGAUAUUGAUCUUCGGAAUGACAAACAAGCUCUUCAGCUGAGAAGGCAAAGCUUGCCUUUCAAUACUGCAACACAAGAUGGCCCAAAACACCCCUCACGAGAGCAAAGUUCGAAGAGUUAUGUUCAGACUUCUUUGGCUGAUUAAAGACACCGGUUGAAACUGCUUUAAACUGCUUUGAAGUGUACCCAGAUUAUACUGUAAGGAAUCAGCUAUUGUAAAAUCUCCACCUUAAAAAACCAUGAAAUACAAUAAUUACAAAAUUAAGUAGUGUAGAAUAUGUAUUAAUGGAUGAUGAACUCAAACAUAAAACUUGUAUUAUCAUCUUACUACAUUCGAUGGGUACGGAAUGAUGAUAAUUCUUAGAUCUCUUUUUCAGAAAACAGUAGGUUAUUGCAAUUACUUUCAAUGGUAUUGCAACUAAUAUUGCAACAAUAAUUAUCAUCAUCUUGUUUGAUGAUUUCUUCUUUUUUCCUGCAUCAAAUUUAAUUCCA